rnacentral:rRNA from 1 species
AGUGAACGCUGGCGGUAUGCCUAACACAUGCAAGUCGAACGAAAGCACAGUAAGCGCUUGCUCUUACGGUUGGCGAGGGGCGGACGGGUAAGGAAUACAUCGGCAUCUACUUUUUCGGGGGUGAUAACGUAGGGAAACUUACGCUAAUACCGCAUACGACCUACCGCUUGAAGCAGUAGAUCUUCAGACCUUUGGUGACUGAAUGAGCCGAAGCCGGGUUAGCUAGUUGGCGGGGUAAAGGACCACCAAGGCGACGAUCCGUAGCCGGUCUGAGAGGAUGAUCAGCCACACUGGAACUGAGACACGGUCCAGACUCCUACGGGAGGCAGCAGUGGGGAAUCUUGCGCAAUGGGCGCAAGCCUGACCGAGCCACGCCGCGUGAGUGAAGAAGGUCUUCGGGUUGUAAAGCCCUUUUGUUGGGGAAGAACAGAAGCGUGUGAAUACCUCGCUGUCCUGACGGUACCCAAAGAGUAAGCCCCGGCUAACUUCGUG